rnacentral:rRNA from 1 species
AGAGUUUUGAUCCUGGCUCAGAGCGAACGCUGGCGGCAUGCUUAACACAUGCAAGUCGCACGGGCAGCAAUGUCAGUGGCGGACGGGUGAGUAACGCGUAGGAACGUGUCCAGAGGUGGGGGAUAACGUCGGGAAACUGACGCUAAUACCGCAUAUGAGCUGAGGCUCAAAGCAGUGAUGCGCCUUUGGAGUGGCCUGCGUAGGAUUAGCUUGUUGGUGGGGUAACGGCCUACCAAGGCUCCGAUCCUUAGCUGGUCUGAGAGGACGAUCAGCCACAUUGGGACUGAGACACGGCCCAAACUCCUACGGGAGGCAGCAGUGGGGAAUCUUGCGCAAUGGUCGAAAGACUGACGCAGCCAUGCCGCGUGAAUGAUGAAGGUCUUAGGAUUGUAAAAUUCUUUUAGCAGGGACGAUAAUGACGGUACCUGCAGAAAAAGCCCCGGCUAACUUCGUGCCAGCAGCCGCGGUAAUACGAAGGGGGCUAGCGUUGCUCGGAAUUACUGGGCGUAAAGGGAGCGUAGGCGGGUCGACAAGUUGGAGGUGAAAGCCCAGGGCUCAACCUUGGAAUUGCCUUCAAAACUGUCGAUCUUGAGUAUGGGAGAGGUAAGCGGAACUCCGAGUGUAGAGGUGAAAUUCGUAGAUAUUCGGAAGAACACCAGUGGCGAAGGCGGCUUACUGGCCCAUUACUGACGCUGAGGCUCGAAAGCGUGGGGAGCAAACAGGAUUAGAUACCCUGGUAGUCCACGCUGUAAACGAUGAUUGCUAGUUGUCGGGCAGUAUACUGUUCGGUGACGCAGCUAACGCAUUAAGCAAUCCGCCUGGGGAGUACGGUCGCAAGAUUAAAACUCAAAGGAAUUGACGG